rnacentral:rRNA from 1 species
AACGUAGGAGGCAAGCGUUAUCCGGAAUUACUGGGCGUAAAGCGCACGUAGGCGGAUUUGUAAGUCAGGGGUGAAAUCCCGGGGCUCAACCUCGGAACUGCCUUUGAUACUGCAAAUCUCGAGUCCGGAAGAGGUGAGUGGAAUUCCUAGUGUAGAGGUGAAAUUCGUAGAUAUUAGGAAGAACACCAGUGGCGAAGGCGGCUCACUGGUCAGGUACUGACGCUGAGGUGCGAAAGCGUGGGGAGCAAACAGG